rnacentral:pre_miRNA from 1 species
CACUUACUCCCUUCGUCCGAAAAUACUUGUCAUCGAAAUGGAUGAAAAUGAAUGUAUCUACAACUAAAAUACAUCUAAAUACAUCCAUUUCAAUGACAAGUAUUUCCGGACAGAGGGAGUAUGUU